UACGUAGGGCGCAAGCGUUGUCCGGAAUUAUUGGGCGUAAAGAGCUCGUAGGCGGCCUGCCACGUCCGCUGUGAAAUCCCGGGGCUCAACCCCGGGCCUGCAGUGGAUACGGGCUGGCUGGAGGCAGGCAGGGGAGAACGGAAUUCCUGGUGUAGCGGUGAAAUGCGCAGAUAUUAGGAAGAACACCAGUGGCGAAGGCGGCUCACUGGCCCGGUACUGACGCUGAGGCGCGAAAGCGUGGGGAGCAAACAGG
rnacentral:rRNA from 1 species